ACUGCAAGAUGACUCCUUUGCCUCAAGUGAGUCAGCCCGAAACAAACGCGCUCCUUUUUUAUAGUAUGAAGAAUAGUUUUUGUUUUAUGAUGGUAUUCGGGAUAAAAAGCAGUUUUCCGACUUCUUCUGGAAAGACGUUUAAUUGGAAUGCGAAUACUUUUCUUGUCAACAAGAUAACGGAUGUGGUGCCAGUAUGGAGGUCUGGGCCUCUCCGUGUACCAACCACUACAUGAGGAGGCACAGCAUGCGUAUGUCCCUAAACACACACACACACACACACACACACACACACGGUUCCACUCAGCUCUGUCUCCCCUCUUUAACAGAGAGAGCACAUCAGUCUACACUAAGUGGAUGUCUCACUCACCUCUUCUCCUCAAACCAUGUCAUCCCUCGCUCCACGACUCACACAUCACACAUCCGUUAGUCCUUGUGGAAGGGGCACCGUGUGUGUGUGUGUGUGUGUCUGUGUGUGUGUGUGUGUGGAGAGGGUCUGACAGGGCAGAGAGGAAUAACACAGGAAGUACAUUAGUUAUCACUCUCUGUCUCCUCCACCUUUUCACAUGCAAUCAAGAUUAAACUUCUCAGGAUCCGGCUUCAGCCCCUUUCUUCUCUCUCUCCUCUGUGCCCUCUCUCCUCUCCUCCCUCUCUCCUCCCCUCCCUCACUUGUCUUGCUCCUUAAAAGUCUCUCGUGCUCCACUUUACACCCAUCUCUCAGAUCUAAAUGACACUUGGCACCACACAUGCGUGGAGACAACUGAAUGAAAUAUUUACACAGAAGACAACUGGAUGGGGAGAGAAAGAGGAGGGCGAGAUAGAGAGAGAGGACAGAAGAGGGAGGAGGAAAGGCAUUGUUCCUGUGUCAGGUGGAAAGGGAUUUAUGGGCGAGGGAGAGAGAGGUUUAAUAAGGUUCAGAGGGAUGGAGCUCAACUCAGGAGUGUUGCUCUGUCAUUAAUAUCUCCAGGGCUCAAUAGGAACAUGGACCUCAGACUGAGGGGAAUAUGGAAUAUGUCUGAAAUCUAAGCAGAUCUACUAUAUGAUUACAGUCUAUUUGGAUGGAUGACAGGGAAGUCUUCUGCAACGAGUUGUAAUGUAAUAAUGUAUGACAAAAAAGUGACAUUUUGCUCUUCCCCUUUAAACCUUUACCGGCUCUGUGUGUCCCUCCAGAGAUUCCAUCCAUUUGAAAGGUGUCAGGGUGGGAUGUUGGAGUUGGGGAGGUGUGUGUGUGUGUGUCAGAAAGGGAGUGUGUGUGAGUGUGUGUGUGACGGAGUGUGUGCGGACCUGUAAGUGUGUUAGUACACUCAUUUGCUCUCCUUUCCGGGGCCUCUAGGCUUGGUCUAAUUAUUUUCCUAGCAGGCCGUGUGUGUAGAAUUGCCUGCUGCUUGUGCAAAUGCUUAUUUAAGCUGUGUAGCUGACAACCAGAUGGUUUUCAUCAUCAUAAAGACAUGUUUGAAGGGGUUAUAUUUUUAUGAGGCAGUGCCAGAGACCUGUCUGUCAGGACUGGGGCUUGAGAACUUCCGGAACUUUCCUCUAAACGCACUGCCUCAAUUAAUUACCCCAAAAAUAUGAAAGAACAAGGAGCAUAAUGUGAUGGAGUGGAUUGCGACAAUAUUUGUAUUAUUAUUUUGUUUCAAGAAAGACAGUAAAUAAAGUAAUG